AAUGUAUUUAAUAUAUAUUUUUUUACAACGCCCACUCGGGAAGUAGACUUUUCGAGCGCUGUAUGUCACCUUCAAAAUACACAAUAAUCGCAUACUUAACUAUAUGUGUUUCAUAAACGCACAUGUUCGGUUAUAGGUGUUUCAUAAACGCACAUGUUCGGUUAUAGACUACAUAAUUGUAUGUACUACUGACACGCCAUCUGUACUAAAAAAAAAUAAGUAAUCAAUCUUAACCCUCAUUUAUUAAAGUUACCACACUGAUUGUGUCAAACGCGAGUGUUACAUACAAAAAAACAAAAUUAAAAAUUGAAAUUAAAAUGAACGAGCAAUAAAAAUUUGUAUGCAAUAAAAUUUAAAUUUAAAAUAAGUAAAUAAAUCAUUUCUCAAAUUGAUAAAUUUCUCUCAAAGUCAACUUCCCGAGCGAUUGUUGUAAAAAGUAUUGAAUGCUACUUGCGGAAUAACUAGCAAAUAUGACAGUCGUGAUUACGGCAUUCGCUCUAAGGUUAUGAGACAUUCUUAUGAAGACUCGUGUGGUUGUCGCAACUCGCCUACGGCUCGUAGCGACAUCUACCACACUCGUCUUCAUAAGAAUGUCUCAUAACCUUACGCUCAUGCCGCAACACCACGACUGUCAGAUUAUUUGCUAGUUAUCCCACUUGUAGCAUUAAUA